GAUGAACGCUAGCGGCAGGCUUAAUACAUGCAAGUCGAGGGGCAGCAGUUUUGUAGCAAUACAGAAGCUGGCGACCGGCAAACGGGUGCGGAACACGUACGCAACCUUCCUUUAACUGGGAGAUAGCCCACCGAAAGGUGGAUUAAUAUCCCAUAAUAUAACUGAAUGGCAUCAUUUAGCUAUUAAAGCUCCGGCGGUUAAAGAUGGGCGUGCGUCUGAUUAGGUAGUUGGCGGGGUAACGGCCCACCAAGCCUUCGAUCAGUAGCUGAUGUGAGAGCAUGAUCAGCCAAACGGGCACGGAGACACGGGCCCGACUCCUACGGGAGGCAGCAGUAAGGAAUAUUGGUCAAUGGACGCAAGUCUGAACCAGCCAUGCCGCGUGGAGGAUGAAGGCCCUCUGGGUUGUAAACUUCUUUUCUUUGGGACGAAACCCCUGUUUCUACGGGGACUGACGGUACCAGAGGAAUAAGCACCGGCUAGCUCCGUGCCAGCCGCCGCGGUAA
rnacentral:rRNA from 1 species